rnacentral:rRNA from 1 species
AUUGAACGCUGGCGGCAUGCUUUACACAUGCAAGUCGAACGGCAGCGCGGGCUUCGGCCUGGCGGCGAGUGGCGAACGGGUGAGUAAUACAUCGGAACGUGCCCAGUAGUGGGGGAUAGCUCGGCGAAAGCCGGAUUAAUACCGCAUCCGAUCUGAGGGUGAAAGCGGGGGAUCUUCGGACCUCGCGCCAUUUGAGCGGCCGAUGGCAGAUCAGCUAGUUGGUGGGGUAAAGGCCUACCAAGGCGACGAUCUGUAGCUGGUCUGAGAGGACGACCAGCCACACGGGGACUGGGACACGGCCCAGACUCCUACGGGAGGCAGCAGUGGGGAAUUUUGGACAAUGGGCGAAGGCCUGAUCCAGCAAUGCCGCGUGUGUGAUGAAGGCCUUCGGGUUGUAAAGCACUUUUGGCGGGAACGAAAAGGACUGUGCCAAUACCACGGUUCGAUGACGGUACCCGCAGAAUAAGCACCGGCUAACUACGUG